CGAUCCGUAGCUGGUCUGAGAGGAUGAUCAGCCACAUCGGGACUGAGACACGGCCCGAACUCCUACGGGAGGCAGCAGUGGGGAAUAUUGGACAAUGGGGGCAACCCUGAUCCAGCCAUGCCGCGUGUGUGAAGAAGGCCCUCGGGUUGUAAAGCACUUUCAGCGAGGAAGAACGCCUGUCGGUUAAUACCCGGUAGGAAAGACAUCACUCGCAGAAGAAGCACCGGCUAACUCCGUGCCAGCAGCCGCGGUAAUACGGAGGGUGCAAGCGUUAAUCGGAAUUACUGGGCGUAAAGCGCGCGUAGGUGGCUUGAUAAGCCGGUUGUGAAAGCCCCGGGCUCAACCUGGGAACGGCAUCCGGAACUGUCAGGCUAGAGUGCAGGAGAGGAAGGUAGAAUUCCCGGUGUAGCGGUGAAAUGCGUAGAGAUCGGGAGGAAUACCAGUGGCGAAGGCGGCCUUCUGGACUGACACUGACACUGAGGUGCGAAAGCGUGGGUAGCAAACAGGAUUAGAUACCCUGGUAGUCCACGCCGUAAACGAUGUCGACCAGCCGUUGGGUGCCUAGCGCACUUUGUGGCGAAGUUAACGCGAUAAGUCGACCGCCUGGGGAGUACGGCCGCAAGGUUAAAACUCAAAUGAAUUGACGGGGGCCCGCACAAGCGGUGGAGCAUGUGGUUUAAUUCGAUGCAACGCGAAGAACCUUACCUACCCUUGACAUCCUGCGAACCCGGAAGAGAUUCCGGGGUGCCUUCGGGAACGCAGAGACAGGUGCUGCAUGGCUGUCGUCAGCUCGUGUUGUGAAAUGUUGGGUUAAGUCCCGUAACGAGCGCAACCCUUGUCCUUAUUUGCCAGCGAGUAAUGUCGGGAACUCUAAGGAGACUGCCGGUGACAAACCGGAGGAAGGUGGGGACGACGUCAAGUCAUCAUGGCCCUUACGGGUAGGGCUACACACGUGCUACAAUGGCCGGUACAAAGGGCUGCGAGCUCGCGAGAGUCAGCGAAUCCCUUAAAGCCGGUCUCAGUCCGGAUCGGAGUCUGCAACUCGACUCCGUGAAGUCGGAAUCGCUAGUAAUCGUGAAUCAGAAUGUCACGGUGAAUACGUUCCCGGGCCUUGUACACACCGCCCGUCACACCAUGGGAGUGGACUGCACCAGAAGUGGUUAGCCUAACGCAAGAGGGCGAUCACCACGGUGUGGUUCAUGACUGGGGUGAAGUCGUAACAAGGUAGCCGUAGGGGAACCUGCGGCU
rnacentral:rRNA from 1 species